rnacentral:lncRNA from 1 species
GACAAACACUUGAGCUGAGGAAGCAGUGCUAUCCACUAUAUUCUUCCUUUCAAGGAUGUAGAGUGCCAUGAGGUGAGACCUCUGUGACAUCACAGGGUAAAUCCCUGCCUUAGUAAUAGCAGACUGCUUAGCCUGAGGAUAACUCAGAGUCCAGCAAGGAGGGCUGGGAUUCACACUUUGCAUGUGUGUCUGCCUAGGCUUGGGAUGUUUUCUGGGAUGGACUACCUGAAAUUCGUCACGUGAGUAGCUUACUCGGUGCGAAGCACUUCUUCACUGGGGUCUUAAGCGGGGGAGGCAGAAAUAGGGAGAGGGACUUAAAGUGUUUCGGAUUGAACACAGCUCUAAGAUUGUCUUCAAGAGCGCUAAGGAGAGCUAGAAACAGAUCAGAAGUCUCACAGUAAUGGGAAUGGCCACUCAAGACUGUAGGAAGUAGAACCCCUCACUCACCAGGAGGAGAGGCCUUGGAAAGAAGCCACAUAUAUACAUCUGGACCAGGACUUGAGCCCCCAGACUAGAUCAGGAAGGCAGGAACAGUGCUUUUGCCACACCCACAUUUGACCAUCACACAUAGCUUGUCCAGGGAAGGAGGCAGAGCAUCUUCCCUGGUGACUUCAGGCCAUGGCAAUAGCAAUCUUUGCAUGUGUACUCAGAGAGCUGCCACAAUAUGAGUCAAACAUCAAUGCCAGUACCACAGGAAACGCCAUGACAGCACCUACCCCUCUCAUUCUGUACUUAAAUACAUGUUUUCACUUUGUAGGUGUGUCGUACACGUUCUCAUGUAUGUGCUCAUGUCUGCAGGUCUACAUCCAUAUGUGUGAAAGUGCAUGAGGAGGACAUGGAAUGAUACCACAUAUCUUGCUACAAAUAUGUAUAAACAGUUGCUAUCAAGGCUAAAAACAAAGAAGCUUUGGACAAAUUUGAACUCAAAAGAAUCCAGUACUUCAAACAUAAAAAGAAUCAUAUACCCUGAGAGUGAGGAUUUC